UUAUGUUUUUGUUUAUUUAGAUGAUAUUCUGAUAUUCUCCCCGGAUGAGGAGACUCACAUUAUUCAUGUCCGCUCUGUUUUGCAGCAGUUACUGCAGAAUCAACUCUAUGUCAAGGCUGAGAAAUCCCCAGAAUCCACAGUUCCAGCGGCAUUAACCUUGGUGAGACGCUGCAGGAGGACCUGGGAGCGAGCCCGCCAGAUGCUGCUGCGCCAGGGACGGUCCUACAAAGCCGCUGCUGACCGUCGGAGGACACCGGCCCCGAACUACAAAGUGGGUCAGCGAGUUUGGCUUUCGACCAAACAUAUUCCACUCCGGGUGGAGUCCAAGAAGCUCGCUCCCAGGUUCGUUGGGCCCUUCCCCAUCACAAAAAUAAUCAACCCUGUCACCGUGAAGCUGAGGCUCCCAAGGUCUAUGCGGGUCCACCCUACUUUUCACGUCAGCCUACUCAAGCCAGCCCGGGAGUCCCCUCUGGUCCCGCCUUCCAGGCCCCCUCCUCCCCCCCGGUUUGUGGAUGGGGGCCCUGUCUUCUCUGUGAAGCGGCUGUUGUCAUCUCGUCGGAGGGGCAGGGGGUUUCAAUAUCUGGUGGACUGGGAGGGCUAUGGGCCUGAGGAGCGUUCCUGGGUACCGUCUGCGUUUAUCGUGGAUGAUUCGCUCAUUCGGGACUUCCACGUUGCGCAUCCAGGGGCCCCAGGGCCGUCUGGGGCCGGCCGUUAAGGGGGGGGGUACUGUCAUAUGUGUGUGUGUUCCGGGUUUUGUCUUCCCCCCUGUUUCACACACACCUGCUCAUGUGAGCAUCUUCAUCACCUGUGCCUCGUUCACCCUAAUUACCCCUUGUAUAUAACCUCGUGUCUCAUUUCCUCUCGUUGCCAGUUCGUUGUACCUUGUCGUCGCGUUCCAGCAUUCCUUGUUUCCACGUCAUAGAUUCACAGUAAGACCUGACCCUGUUCCGAUUAUCGAUCUUGUCUCUUUGCCUCAUGUUUUUGGAUACUGUUGCCUCUUUUGGAUUGCCUGCCUGUGUACCGACCUAUGCCCGUCUAUUAAACCUCUCUUUUUGGAAACUGUCAA